rnacentral:rRNA from 1 species
UACAGAGGGGGCAAGCGUUGUUCGGAAUUACUGGGCGUAAAGGGCGCGUAGGCGGCCCGCUAAGUCGAACGUGAAAUCCCCGAGCUCAACUCGGGAACUGCGUCCGAUACUGGUGGGCUUGAAUCCGGGAGAGGGAUGCGGUAAUUCCGAGGUGUAGCGGUGAAAUGCGUAGAUAUCUGGAGGAACACCGGUGGCGAAGGCGGCAUCCUGGACCGGCAUUGACGCUGAGGAGCGAAAGCCAGGGGAGCAAACGGG